UACGAAGGGGGCUAGCGUUGUUCGGAAUCACUGGGCGUAAAGCGCACGUAGGCGGAUCUUUAAGUCAGGGGUGAAAUCCCGAGGCUCAACCUCGGAACUGCCUUUGAUACUGGGGAUCUCGAGUCCGGGAGAGGUGAGUGGAACUGCGAGUGUAGAGGUGAAAUUCGUAGAUAUUCGCAAGAACACCAGUGGCGAAGGCGGCUCACUGGCCCGGAACUGACGCUGAGGUGCGAAAGCGUGGGGAGCAAACAGGGAUUAAAAACCCCUG
rnacentral:rRNA from 1 species